GGUCACAUUGUGUUGAAACAACAGUUCCUGUAUGAUCACUGAAGUUAAGAAACAUCGGGCCUGGUCAGUACCUAGAUGGGUGACCAUUUGGGAAUACCAGGUUCUGUAAG